rnacentral:rRNA from 1 species
AUUGAACGCUGGCGGCAGGCUUAACACAUGCAAGUCGAGCGGGGGAGGUUGCUUCGGUAACUGACCUAGCGGCGGACGGGUGAGUAAUGCUUAGGAAUCUGCCUAUUAGUGGGGGACAACAUUCCGAAAGGGAUGCUAAUACCGCAUACGCCCUACGGGGGAAAGCAGGGGAUCUUCGGACCUUGCGCUAAUAGAUGAGCCUAAGUCGGAUUAGCUAGUUGGUGGGGUAAAGGCCUACCAAGGCGACGAUCUGUAGCGGGUCUGAGAGGAUGGUCCGCCACACUGGGACUGAGACACGGCCCAGACUCCUACGGGAGGCAGCAGUGGGGAAUAUUGGACAAUGGGCGGAAGCCUGAUCCAGCCAUGCCGUGUGUGUGAAGAAGGCCUUUUGGUUGUAAAGCACUUUAAGCGAGGAGGAGGCUCUUAAGGUUAAUACCCUUGAUGAGUGGACGUUACUCGCAGAAUAAGCACCGGCUAACUCUGUGCCAGCCGCCGCAGUAAAAC